rnacentral:rRNA from 1 species
UAACACAUGCAAGUCGAGCGAGACCUUCGGGUCUAGCGGCGGACGGGUGAGUAACGCGUGGGAACGUACCCUUUUUUGCGGAAUAGCCACUGGAAACGGUGAGUAAUACCGCAUACGCCCUUCGGGGGAAAGAUUUAUCGGAGGAGGAUCGGCCCGCGUUGGAUUAGGUAGUUGGUGGGGUAAUGGCCUACCAAGCCUACGAUCCAUAGCUGGUUUUAGAGGAUGAUCAGCCACACUGGGACUGAGACACGGCCCAGACUCCUACGGGAGGCAGCAGUCGCCCGCCGCGCCCCGC